UAUAUUGCACAAUGGGCGAAAGCCUGAUCCAGCCAUGCCGCGUGUGUGAAGAAGGUCUUCGGAUUGUAAAGCACUUUCUGUUGGGAGGAAGGUCAGUAAGUUACUUCCUUGCUGUCUUGACGUUAUCGACAGAAUACGCACCCGCUCACUUCGUUCCAGCAGGCUCGGUAAUACGAAGGGUGCAAGCGUUAAUCGGAAAUACGGGGCGUAAAGCGCGCGUAGGUGGGUUGAUCAGUUAGAAGAGAAAGUCCCGGGCUGAAACUGGGAACUGCUUUCAAAACGGGCAAGCUAGAGUAUGGCAGAGGGUGGAGGAAUUUCCUGUGGAGCGGUGAAAUGCGUAGAUAUAGGAAGGAACACCAGUGGCGAAGGCGACCACCUGGGCUAAUACUGACACUGAGGUGCGAAAGCGUGGGGAGCAAAC
rnacentral:rRNA from 1 species